ACCAUCCUAAGGUAGCGAAAUUCCUUGUCGGGUAAGUUCCGACCUGCACGAAUGGCGUAACGAUGGCCACACUGUCUCCUCCCGAGACUCAGCGAAGUUGAAAUGGUUGUGAAGAUGCAAUCUCCCCGCUGCUAGACGGAAAGACCCCGUGAACCUUUACUGUAGCUUUGCAUUGGACUUUGAAGUCACUUGUGUAGGAUAGGUGGGAGGCUUAGAAGCAGAGACGCUAGUUUCUGUGGAGCCGUCCUUGAAAUACCACCCUGGUGACUUUGAGGUUCUAACCCAGACCCGUAAUCCGGGUCGGGGACCGUGCAUGGUAGGCAGUUUGACUGGGGCGGUCUCCUCCCAAAGAGUAACGGAGGAGUUCGAAGGUUACCUAGGUCCGGUCGGAAAUCGGACUGAUAGUGCAAUGGCAAAAGGUAGCUUAACUGCGAGACCGACAAGUCGAGCAGGUGCGAAAGCAGGACAUAGUGAUCCGGUGGUUCUGUAUGGAAGGGCCAUCGCUCAACGGAUAAAAGGUACUCUGGGGAUAACAGGCUGAUACCGCCCAAGAGUUCAUAUCGACGGCGGUGUUUGGCACCUCGAUGUCGGCUCAUCUCAUCCUGGGGCUGUAGCCGGUCCCAAGGGUAUGGCUGUUCGCCAUUUAAAGAGGUACGUGAGCUGGGUUUAAAACGUCGUGAGACAGUUUGGUCCCUAUCUGCUGUGGGCGUUGGAGAUUUGACGGGGGCUGCUCCUAGUACGAGAGGACCGGAGUGGACACACCUCUGGUGUACCUGUUGUCACGCCAGUGGCAUCGCAGGGUAGCUAAGUGUGGAAGAGAUAACCGCUGAAAGCAUCUAAGCGGGAAACUUGCCUGAAGAUGAGAUCUCCCUGGGGACUCGAUCCCCCUGAAGGGUCGUCCAAGACCAGGACGUUGAUAGGCCGGGUGUGGAAGCGCAGUAAUGCGUGCAGCUAACCGGUACUAAUUGCCCGUGAGGCUUGACCCU
rnacentral:rRNA from 1 species